AUUUAGGAUUUGAUUAGGGUUUGAUUUAGGAUUUAGGGUUUGAUUAGGAUUUAGUUUAGGGUUCAAGAUUUAAUUAGGAUUUAAUUUAGGAUUUAAGAUUUGGUUAGGAUUUGAUUUAAGAUUAGGAUUUAGGAUUUGAUUAGGAUUUGGUGUAGGAUUUAGGAUUUGAUUAGGAUUUGGUUUAAGGUUUAGGAUUUUAUUAGGGUUUAUUUAGGAUUUAAGAUUUAGUUAGUUUUUGGCCUAAAAUUUGAAUGAAGUCCAAUAGGAUUUUAACUAAGAUUAAAUAAAGUUUGAACUGAGAUGUAUUUGAGAUAUAUUUGUGAGCAUUCUAAUAUUUCUUUAAGAUUUCUUAUUAUUUCUUUUAAUUCUUUUGAGGUUUCUUUGAAUUUGAUUAAA
rnacentral:lncRNA from 1 species